CGUAGGGUGCAAGCGUUAAUCGGAAUUACUGGGCGUAAAGCGUACGCAGGCGGCUUUGCAAGACAGGUGUGAAAUCCCCGGGCCUAACCUGGGAACUGCAUUUGUGACUGCAUGGCUAGAGUUUGUCAGAGGGGGGUGGAAUUCCACGUGUAGCAGUGAAAUGCGUAGAUGUGUGGAGGAACACCGAUGGCGAAGGCAGCCCCCUGGGAUGUGACCGACGCUCAUGUACGAAAGCGUGGGGAGCAAACAGGAUUAGAUACCCUGGUAGUCCACGCCCUAAACGAUGUCGACUAGUUGUCGGAGGGUAACUCCUUCGGUAACGCAGCUAACGCGUGAAGUCGACCGCCUGGGGAGUACGGUCGCAAGAUUA
rnacentral:rRNA from 1 species